AGUUACCACUAUACUAGUGCAGGAGAAGCAGAAAGGAAGAUGCUGCUACCCAGAGCCCACAGUCAUUGUGCCCCUGAUGCCGCUGGAACCCCACUGCAGCUGCUUUACAGGAAGCAGGGAAUUAGCGCUCUUGCUGAUGCUACAGGUAUCCAGGAUCCAAAAGUCAUCAGCCGCUGUCCCUGUUGCAGCCUAGGGAAACUGUCCCACUGAGGUUGUUGGGGUACCUGCUACUGCAUCUACUGUCUGAACCAUGUUGCCUGAGCAGAUGUCCAGGGCUCAGGCUUGCCUGCUGCUGUUACUGCUGCCACCAUGUUUAUCAGAGCUACUUCAAGAAGAGAAGAAAUCCUCCUCAUUUCCAGUUUUUUCCAGUGCCUCCCAUUGCUUCCCAGAAUGCCAAAUUCUCUUUGAGAGACAGCUGAAAGGAAGGUUUGGAAAAGACUCUGGUGUAAGCAGAUUCUGCUUCCCUGCAAUAGGGGGAAAGCAUAGGGUGGAACUGGAGCUGAGAGCUAAUCACGAAUGAGCAAAUCAGUCUUCAAGACAUUUACCUUUCCUUGAAACGUUUCCCUUCUUUUACCGUGUUUUCCAUGUCAUUAUUUUUCCACAAUUCUGCAUCAUAUUCUGUUAACUAUUAAUGCCCUGGAUAAGUUUAUUUGCUCUUUCUUAGGGUUAAUUUUUCUCCUUUUCUUCGAAGCUUUAGUUUGCAGGUUCAGCUUGUGUGGGAAUUUUCAUCUCCCUCCUCUUCAAGACUCCUUGGAUAUCAGUUUUUUGGUUGCCUUCACCAACUCUCCCCCCACCAUCUCUAGACCAGGGCAUGGUCUUAGUUGGUGGCUUGGACUCCUGUGGCUUGGAGUCUUUGGGGAUAUUAGAGAUCCAGUCACUGAGCUGGCAAAGGGAACACUGUCCUUGCUUCCAGCUUUAUGAAGAACGCUUUGCUCUGUCACCCCACGUAAAUAAUCAUGUUAUUCAAGGAUAAUGAAUGCAGCCACCAUGUAAUCAUCACUGACUCCAUGAGACAGCGUCUCUCACUGUCACCUAGGCUGGAGUGCAGUAGCAUGAUCAUAGCUCACUGCAGCCUUGGACUUCUGGGCUCAAGCUGUUCUCCCCUCUCAGCCUCUCAAGUAGCUAGGUCUGUGAGCAAAUGCUACCACGCCCAGGCCAUGAGAAAAGAGACCUAAGAAAUGAUGCCCAUCCAGAAGAGUGAAGACUUCCUGAAAAUGUUCUUUUAACCUAAGAUGUAGGUUAAGAGGAGUGAAAAAAUGUUCUGUUUCUGACUGAUGAUGGAGCAACAAAGGAACUCCUAAAGAAGAAAUCAUCCAUUCAGUGAGAGCAAAUGAACACUCCAACAGACUGAAACAAAGCAUCUUUACAGGAGAUGUGAAUGCGAGAAAGCAAAGAGAACUACAGUCAGGGUCUCCGCUGGCAUGGCCCAAGCCCACCGUGGCAUGAUCCAGAGAGACGAGUCAGCAGAGCACUAUGGGCAGCUCCCAUACUCUUCGCAGAUCAACAAGCCAGCAUAUAACCCAGGGAGAUAGAUAAUAGUGAUGCUGUGCUCUGUAGAGGGUAGUGGCAACAGUGGGAUUUCUUCUGGAAUAAAUCUGUAGUGAGCCAGAUGUUUCUGCUGACUAUAUUACUUCUGACAGUGUAUAAUCCAAAAUUGUUUCCUUGGCCUUCCAAAAAGUUUUAUAAGCUCCCUAACGGCUGCAAUAAAUCCCUUUCUUCUUAAA
rnacentral:lncRNA from 1 species